rnacentral:rRNA from 1 species
AUGCAAGAUUCCAAACUGCUAACAAUUUCAUAUACCAAUCUGUCAUUGUGUCUCGUGUGCAUUUCAUCAAAGUGCAAGUGCGAGAGUUCGACAGAGAGGGCUCACCCUGCCGCGGAGCGUGACGGCGAUACCAAUGGUGUUGCCCUCGCGGAUCUUGAAACUGGCGACGGAGUUCUUGGCCUUGGUCUUGACGGGGUACUGGCCGGUGAUGGAGGCGAGGUCCUUCAUGGCGGCCUCCAGACCCUUGUUGUUCCCCGCAUCCACCCCCAGCCCGCAGUUCACCACAAUCUUCUCAAGCUUGGGCACCUACCAGAACCAAUAAAAAUCAAGAAACCACUACCGAACAGGCCAAUCUACGACUCAAGAAAUGGGAUCGGUUCAUCAGAGCAGAGCAGAGCAGGAGAGGGGGUACCUGGUGGACAUUGGUGUAGCCGAACUCCUCGGUGA